rnacentral:rRNA from 1 species
AACGCUAGCGGCAGGCUUAACACAUGCAUGUCGAGGGGUAACGAUCCCGCUUCGGUGGGAGGCGACGACCGGCAAAUGGGUGAGUAAUACAUAUGCAACUUGCCCGUAGCUGGAGGAUAGCUUCCGGAAACGGAAAUUAAUACUCCAUAAUAUCCUAAUAUCGCAUGUUAUAAGGAUUAAAGUUUCGACGGCUACGGAUGGGCAUAUGUCCCAUUAGCUUGUUGGUGAGGUAACGGCUCACCAAGGCUACGAUGGGUAGGGGGCCUGAGAGGGUGAUCCCCCACACUGGUACUGAGACACGGACCAGACUCCUACGGGAGGCAGCAGUGAGGAAUAUUGGUCAAUGGGCGAAAGCCUGAACCAGCCAUGCCGCGUGCAGGAUGACUGUCCUAUGGAUUGUAAACUGCUUUUCUGCAGGAAGAAACGCUUCUACGUGUAGAGGUUUGACGGUACUGCAGGAAUAAGCAUCGGCUAACUCCGUGCCAGCAGCCGCGGUAAUACGGAGGAUGCAAGCGUUAUCCGGAUUCAUUGGGUUUAAAGGGUGCGUAGGCGGAUUGGUAAGUCAAAGGUGAAAGUCUGUAGCUUAACUAUAGAAGUGCCUUUGAUACUGCUAGUCUUGAGUACAGUUGAGGCGAGUGGAAUGUGUAGUGUAGCGGUGAAAUGCAUAGAUACUACACAGAACACCAAUUGUGAAGACAGCUCGCUAAGCUGCUACUGACGCUCAGGCACGAAAGCGUGGGGAGCGAACAGGAUUAGAUACCCUGGUAGUCCACGCUGUAAACUAUGAUCACUAGCUGUUGGCGAUAAAUUGUCAGUGGCUGAGCGAAAGCGUUAAGUGAUCCACCUGGGGAGUACGAUCGCAAGGUU